UAGGGAAUCUUCCGCAAUGGACGCAAGUCUGACGGAGCAACGCCGCGUGAGUGAAGAAGGAUUUCGGUUCGUAAAACUCUGUUGUUAGAGAAGAACAGCGAAUAGAGUAACUGUUAUGCGUGUGACGGUAUCUAACCAGAAAGCCACGGCUAACUACGUGCCAGCAGCCGCGGUAAUACGUAGGUGGCAAGCGUUGUCCGGAUUUAUUGGGCGUAAAGCGAGCGCAGGCGGUCAAUUAAGUCUGAUGUGAAAGCCCCCGGCUCAACCGGGGAGGGUCAUUGGAAACUGGUUGACUUGAGUGCAGAAGAGGAGAGUGGAAUUCCAUGUGUAGCGGUGAAAUGCGUAGAUAUAUGGAGGAACACCAGUGGCGAAGGCGACUCUCUGGUCUGUAACUGACGCUGAGGCUCGAAAGCGUGGGUAGCAAACAGG
rnacentral:rRNA from 1 species